ACCCCGGACGCCCCCCGCCCGACGGCGCCAGGGGCCGCUCUGGCGCGUCCCCGGGCCGGACGUCCUGCGCCAGCCCCCGGCGGGAGCCCAGCUCGUCCCGGCCGAGGCCUCCCGCCCGGGGCGGGACACGCGGCUGCGGCCCGCUCCCGCUCGAGGCAGCCCGGGCCGCAACUCCGCCGGAGGCCCCGCGGAACGCGGGGCGAGCCCGGCCUCUACACGGGCCACGCAGGCCGAAGAAAAAAGGCACACAGUCUGAAACCUUUUUCACUUAACAGAAGAAAAUUAAAAAUUUUCUCACUGUCCAAUUCAUUGUUCUUCUCUUGCAGGAAUGUAUCAAAUAAUGUAAGGAAGAUGGAUAUCAUGUGUCCUCUUAUUCAGUCCAUCUUAAGAAGCAACAGCACGCUUAGAUGAGAUAGAAUCAUCUUCAUUUUCAUGCAGACGCUUUCUCGUUGUGGCUGACUAAAAGAAAGAUGCAGCAGAGUGGCUACAUUAAUCAGGUGCUACAAACAAACGGGGAGAUGUAUUACAGUAGUUACAUACCACAAUUGCUGAAACCUUUUCCAAGUGCAAAGAGUCGACCCCAAGGCUGAGGAAUAAGCUCUUCAGGUUCCUGAUCCUCGGGGAUUGAUGGAAGCUCCUGAGUGGGAACGGUGUCCAAAGAACUGAGGGUCCCAGAACUUGAGGAUGACUGGCUAGCACUCUGAGAUGCACUGGAAGAGGAACUGGUACCACUCUGUGACUGUUGGGCACCUUGAGACUGCUGCACUUCAUUUCCAGUCUCUCGAGACAUGUUGGCUUCAAAGAGAACAUUUAAAAAAGCGCUUACUACAGCAAAGUAAAAUUGACAAACUUUCACAUACAGUCCCAUUAUCAUAGAAAUCUAUUUCCAGUCUUCAAAUAAGACUCUCAAC